AGUGAACGCUGGCGGUAGGCCUAACACAUGCAAGUCGAACGGCAGCACAGUAAGAGCUUGCUCUUACGGGUGGCGAGUGGCGGACGGGUGAGGAAUACAUCGGAAUCUACUUUUUCGUGGGGGAUAACGUAGGGAAACUUACGCUAAUACCGCAUACGACCUACGGGUGAAAGCAGGGGAUCUUCGGACCUUGCGCGAUUGAAUGAGCCGAUGUCGGAUUAGCUAGUUGGCGGGGUAAAGGCCCACCAAGGCGACGAUCCGUAGCUGGUCUGAGAGGAUGAUCAGCAACACUGGAACUGAGACACGGUCCAGACUCCUACGGGAGGCAGCAGUGGGGAAUAUUGGACAAUGGGCGCAAGCCUGAUCCAGCCAUACCGCGUGGGUGAAGAAGGCCUUCGGGUUGUAAAGCCCUUUUGUUGGGAAAGAAAAGCAGCAGGUUAAUACCCCGCUGUUCUGACGGUACCCAAAGAAUAAGCACCGGCUAACCUCGUG
rnacentral:rRNA from 1 species